CCCCCACCCCCACAUCUGCCAGCGCCCCCCAGUCUACCGCCCCCUCUGACGUCAGCGGUACAGGAACGAUGUCGACGGGGGAGAGCAACCCCGCCUUCAGUGAGGGGGGCACCGACCCCCCGGCUGACCCCCUGGCAGGGGAAGAGGGCAGGCUGCUGGAGGAGGUGCUGCUGCCGCUGUCCCGGGGGGACCCGCCCCC